rnacentral:rRNA from 1 species
GACGAACGCUGGCGGCGUGCUUAACACAUGCAAGUCGAACGGUGAAGCGCCUUCCUUUUUGGUGGGUGUGGAUGAGUGGCGAACGGGUGAGUAACACGUGAGUAACCUGCCCCCUUCUUCUGGAUAACCGCAUGAAAGUGUGGCUAAUACGGGAUAUUCUGGGUCUGUCGCAUGAUGGGUCUGGGAAAGAUAUUGUUUCGGUGGGGGAUGGGCUCGCGGCCUAUCAGCUUGUUGGUGGGGUGAUGGCCUACCAAGGCGGUGACGGGUAGCCGGCCUGAGAGGGUGGACGGUCACACGGGGACUGAGACACGGCCCAGACUCCUACGGGAGGCAGCAGUGGGGAAUAUUGCACAAUGGGCGCAGGCCUGAUGCAGCGACGCCGCGUGAGGGAUGGAGGCCUUCGGGUUGUGAACCUCUUUCGCCAGUGAAGCAGGCCUGCCUCGUUUGUGGGUGGGUUGACGGUAGCUGGAUAAGAAGCGCCGGCUAACUACGUG